rnacentral:rRNA from 1 species
CCUACGGGAGGCAGCAGUGGGGAAUAUUGGGCAAUGGAGGAAACUCUGACCCAGCAACGCCGCGUGAAGGAUGAAGGUUUUCGGAUUGUAAACUUCUGUUGCGAGGGAUGAAGAAUGACGGUACCUCGUGAGGAAGCCCCGGCAAACUACGUGCCAGCAGCCGCGGUAAUACGGAGGAUGCGAGCGUUAUCCGGAUUUAUUGGGUUUAAAGGGUGCGUAGGCGGAAUGCCAAGUCAGCGGUAAAAUCGCGGGGCUCAACCUCGCUCCGCCGUUGAAACUGGCGUUCUUGAGUGGGCGAGAAGUAUGCGGAAUGCGUGGUGUAGCGGUGAAAUGCAUAGAUAUCACGCAGAACUCCGAUUGCGAAGUCAGCAUACCGGCGCCCAACUGACGCUGAAGCACGAAAGCGUGGGUAUCGAACAGGAUUAGAUACCCCAGUAGUC